rnacentral:tRNA from 1 species
GGGGAAUUAGCUCAGUUGGCAGAGCGACUGGCUGGCAGCCAGUAGGUCAGCGGUUCGACCCCGCUAUUCUCCA